UACGUAGGGUGCGAGCGUUGUCCGGAAUUAUUGGGCGUAAAGGGCUCGUAGGCGGUUUGUCGCGUCGGGAGUGAAAACCCAGGGCUUAACCCUGGGCUGGCUUCCGAUACGGGCAGACUAGAGGUAUGCAGGGGAGAACGGAAUUCCUGGUGUAGCGGUGAAAUGCGCAGAUAUCAGGAAGAACACCCGUGGCGAAGGCGGCUCUCUGGUACGGAACUGACGCUGAGACGCGAAAGCGUGGGGAGCGAACAGG
rnacentral:rRNA from 1 species